CCCUCGGAGAGUUAUAUCAAACAAAAGUAGCUUUUAGCAAAAUUGGACUCAUUGAACAGGGAA
rnacentral:ncRNA from 1 species